rnacentral:rRNA from 1 species
UCAGCAGUGAGGAAUCUUGGUCAAUGGCCUAACGGCUGAACUGGCAACUUGGAGAAGUGGCAAGUCUUCCAGUAUGGGGAGCAAAACAGCUAUGGGUCAAGUCCGAUAUCUUUAGGAGAAGUCUUAUUGUGAGGGCGAGUUAUAUAACACCAUAGGACUGGCCGUCCCAUAUGAAAAGAUUAUAUUAGAAUUGAAUGAAGCUUUGUUUAUAUAUUGAUAAUGACAGUAUAUAUAUCGUGUCUUGACUAAUUGCGUGCCAGCAGUCGCGGUAAUACGUAAGAGACUAGUGUUAUUCAUCUUAAUUAGGUUUAAAGGGUACCCAGACGGUCAAUAUAGCUUAUAAAAUGUUAGUACUUGACUAGAGUUUUAUGUAAGAGGGCAGUACUUGAGGAGGAGAGAUGAAAUUUCGUGAUACCAAAGGGACUCUGUAAAGGCGAAGGCAGCCCUCUAUGUAAAAACUGACGUUGAAGGACGAAGGCACAGAGAACAAACAGGAUUAGAUACCCAAGUAGUCUUUGCAGUAAAUGAUGAAUGCCAUAGGUUAGAUUGAUCAAUUAUAGUCUAGGGUUAGUCUAGCAAACUAAUGCCCUAUGAUAUAAUUCAAAAUAUCUGGUCUAUAAAUGAAAGUGUAAGCAUUUCACCUCAAGAGUAAUGUGGCAACGCAGGAACUGAAAUCACUAGACCGUU